AUUGAACGCUGGCGGCAUGCCUUACACAUGCAAGUCGAACGGUAACAGGUCUUCGGAUGCUGACGAGUGGCGAACGGGUGAGUAAUACAUCGGAACGUGCCUAGUAGUGGGGGAUAACUACUCGAAAGAGUGGCUAAUACCGCAUGAGAUCUACGGAUGAAAGCAGGGGAUCGCAAGACCCUGUGCUACUAGAGCGGCCGAUGGCAGAUUAGGUAGUUGGUGGGAUAAAAGCUUACCAAGCCGACGAUCUGUAGCUGGUCUGAGAGGGCGAUCAGCCGCACUGGGACUGAGACACGGCCCAGACUCCUACGGGAGGCAGCAGUGGGGAAUUUUGGACAAUGGGCGAAAGCCUGAUCCAGCAAUGCCGCGUGCAGGAUGAAGGCCUUCGGGUUGUAAACUGCUUUUGUACGGAACGAAAAGCCCCGGGUUAAUACCCUGGGGUCAUGACGGUACCGUAAGAAUAAGCACCGGCUAACUACGUGCCAGCCGCCGCGGUAA
rnacentral:rRNA from 1 species